rnacentral:rRNA from 1 species
UACGUAGGUGGCAAGCGUUAUCCGGAUUUAUUGGGUUUAAAGGGUGCGCAGGCGGCACGGCAAGCCGGCGGUCAAAUCGCGGGGCUCAACCCCGCCCAGCCGUCGGAACUGCCGGGCUAGAGUGGGCGAGAAGUGCGCGGAAUGCGUGGUGUAGCGGUGAAAUGCAUAGAUAUCACGCAGAACUCCGAUUGCGAAGGCAGCGCACCGGCGCCCUACUGACGCUCAGGCACAAAAGCGUGGGUAUCGAACAGG